UACGUAGGGGGCAAGCGUUGUCCGGAUUCAUUGGGCGUAAAGAGCGUGUAGGCGGCCAGGCAGGUCCGCUGUGAAAACUCGAGGCUCAACCUCGAGAUGUCGGUGGAAACCGUCUGGCUAGAGUCCGGAAGAGGAGAGUGGAAUUCCUGGUGUAGCGGUGAAAUGCGCAGAUAUCAGGAAGAACACCCGUGGCUAAGGCGGCUCUCUAGUACGGUACUGACGCUGAGACGCGAAAGCGUGGGGAGCGAACAGG
rnacentral:rRNA from 1 species